AGUGAACGCUGGCGGUAGGCCUAACACAUGCAAGUCGAACGGCAGCACAGUAAGAGCUUGCUCUUACGGGUGGCGAGUGGCGGACGGGUGAGGAAUACAUCGGAAUCUACUUUUUCGUGGGGGAUAACGUAGGGAAACUUACGCUAAUACCGCAUACGACCUACGGGUGAAAGCAGGGGAUCUUCGGACCUUGCGCGAUUGAAUGAGCCGAUGUCGGAUUAGCUAGUUGGCGGGGUAAAGGCCCACCAAGGCGACGAUCCGUAGCUGGUCUGAGAGGAUGAUCAGCAACACUGGAACUGAGACAAGGUCCAGAAUCCUACGGGAGGCAGCAGUGGGGAAUAUUGGACAAUGGGCGCAAGCCUGAUCCAGCCAUACCGCGUGGGUGAAGAAGGCCUUCGGGUUGGAAAGCCCUUUUGUUGGGAAAGAAAAGCAGCAGGUUAAUACCCCGCUGUUCUGACGGUACCCAAAGAAUAAGCACCGGCUAACUUCGUG
rnacentral:rRNA from 1 species